AACGAACGCUGGCGGCAUGCCUAACACAUGCAAGUCGAACAAGACCUCCGUGUCUAGUGGCGCACGGGUGCGUAACGCGUGGGAACCUGCCCUUAGGUUCGGAAUAACUCCCCUAAAGGGGUGCUAAUACCGGAUAAUGUCCUCUAACCAAAGAUUUAUCGCCUUUGGAUGGGCCCGCGUUGGUUUAGCUUGUUGGUAGGGUAAAAGCCUACCACGGCGACGAUCCAUAGCUGGUCUGAGAGGAUGAUCAGCCACACUGGGGCUGAGACGCGGCCCAGACUCCUACGGGAGGGAGGAGUGGGGGAUAUAGGAAGAUGGGCGAAAGCCUGAUCCAGCUAGGCCGCGUGAGUGAUGAUGGCCUUAGAGAUGUAAAGCUCUUUUACCCGGGGUGAUAAUGACAGUACCGAGAGAAUAAGCUCCGGCUAACUCCGUG
rnacentral:rRNA from 1 species